AUUAAUUUCGUAUCCAACUCAAGGAAUAUUGGUGGAAUAUUCACAUCAAAACUUCAGUGAAAUGUAUACAUAACAGGCCGGAUAUUGUUGUUUGGGACAGAGGGGCAAAGGUAUGUACCAUCAUAGAGGUCAGCUGCCCUCCAGAUAUAAAUGCCUCUUUGGAAAUCAAAGAAAACGAAGAUAUUUAUGGACAACUGCUUUGAAACCCCCAGCUUCUGUAUCCAGACUAUGAAUUCAUAAUCAUACUAAUAAUAAUUGGAGCUCUAGGUUUUGUUAGUAAAGGAGACUCUGGAUAAACUGGGAUUUUCAGGAAGAGAAAUUAACCGUCUGAUUUGUACAUUACAAGUGCAAUGCGUGUAUAUGAGUUGUCCCCCUUGCAUAAUAUCUUGCUUUUUGGAACCUUCACAUGGUCGCAUUAUCUGCUAGACAUAACAGCCAACAUCAAAAGAAGCACUAAACUCCGCUAAAUGAUGCCACACUAUCAUAAAAAAGAAAGCAGAAAAAGAAGAAUGGGUCGGGAAAUGAGGAGCGAGAAGGCAGCAUAAUUCUCGACGAUUCUUCAAAGACAUAAUAAUUAUGAAUUGCAAUCAUCGCCCGUCGAAACGUAGAA
rnacentral:lncRNA from 1 species